GGCGAGAGAGCCUGAGUCCUAUUGCCAUCCCUGCGGAGCUCUCCUCCUUAUUUGGGCGUCCUCUUCAUCACCGACGUGUUGGUUUCAUCCCGGAAGCUGCAGCAUGAGGAAAGUCAUCAUAUAGUAAGCAUAUGCGGCGGCGGGAGAACAGGGGAGAUGAAAGUUGGAGGAAACGAAGCCCCGAGAUGAAAGGAGACCGAUAAAAGGCAAGUGAGGAUGUUGUUUUUCUCGUGCAUUGUUGGAGAGGUCCAGCAACGGAAAGGCAGAAGCCCUCUUGGAUGCUUUGUGGGCCAAAUAAAUUGACAUUUUAUGGACUUUCCCGUACUCCCCCAAGGGUUUUUCUCAAAUUCAGCCCUUGGUAGGCAUGCCUAUCAUUCGUCAACCCACGAAAAAAAGUCUCAAGAAGCCGUGCCCAAAAUGACGCAGAGAUCUACCGUAUUUUCCGCACUAUAAUGCGCAUCGGAUUAUAAGGCGCACCUUCCACGAAUUGCCUAUUUUAAAACUGUUUUCAUAGAUAGGGCGCAUUGCAUUAUAAGGCACAUACAAUAAAAGCUACAACAGAGGCUGCGGUUGCAUUAUGCAUCCACUAGAUGGAGCUACACUAACGGAAUACAAUAUAAUACAGCUUUAUUUCUAUCGAGCCUUCACAACCACUGCAGCUGUAACAAAGCGCUUUACAGAACAUUUAAAAUACUACAUCUAAUAAAUCUGAAUAUUGAUCCGUAUGUAGCAUGAAGCAUGACACAAAGUCCUUAAAAAUACAGAGUUGAUUCCUCGGCAACCUGUGACAACUGGUCACAAAGACGGACAUGAAACAUUUGAACACAAAAUGGCAUUACAAUACAUACAAUACAAUAAAUGAAAGACAAAAGUCAUGCGGAGAAUUGAUUCAACAAAAAGGCACACAACCCUUGUGGGCUCACAUCGACAAGGGGCUCCUUCGAAGUCUUGCUUGUCUCCUUCUUUCUUCGUUUAGUCAGUAGUUAACGAUGCUUUUGGUAUCAUCUUCAUUUCAUAAUGGCUGCGCAGAGCUCAGAAAAAAGUUGUCUGAGUGUGUAUUGGCGAAUCACUUGAAUGUCAAUCAGUGUCGAUCAGAACCCUUUUAGGUUAAAUUAGUUCAUGCUAAUAAUCACCACUAGAUG